rnacentral:lncRNA from 1 species
AUGGCGCAGGUCCCGCACACACACGCUUCUAUGGUAAAUGGUUCUAUGAACCCUUCCUUCUACCCUCCACCUCCCCAUCACCCUGACAGCAUACCUGCAGGUGACCCCACUGUGCCAUCUCUGCCUAUUGCCCCCUUAGCCAGCUCAAGUCCCACUACAGUUUCCAAAGUUGGGAUGUCCCAGUCUCAAAGAGUUCCCUUGUUGGACAAUACUAAACCUUCAGGAGGGAUCCAUUCUAGUGUUGGCGAUGUGCACCUGCACAGCAUUGGGAAUACUGCAGUGGCCCCUGUGCUGCCUCUGUCUGCGUCUGCAGGCUUGAACACUAAUGUUGGGGGAGACACUAAAGUGUCUGCCUCCCACACACACAGCCAGGCCCCCCAAACUCAGACUGCCACUGGCUCCCGCUUCAGGGUUGUCAAACUAGACACGAACUCUGAGCCCUUUCGGAAGGGCAGGUGGACAUGUACUGAAUACUAUGAAAAGGAAGUUCCUCAUGCGGCAGCGUCAGAGGUACCUAAAGGUUUGGAGAUGUCUGAGACAGAACCAGCCCCUCACACCCUUCAGUCCUAUCAGCCACACCAGGACUUCAGUAGCCCCCCUGCAAUGCAGAGCCCACCACAGGGGGUGGUCCAGACAGCCCCUGUGUCCUAUGUCCCAGUACAGGAGGGCAACAUGGGGGUUCACCUACAGAAACCUGUAGCAGUAGGAGCACCAGCAGGUGUCAGUCAGCCUCUGAACAUCAUGUCCCAGCAACUGCCCUAUGCUGCAGACUCCCAUCACCCUCAGACGGCCUAUCCAGCCCAGCUCCACUCAGGGGGAGUACAGGGAACUGUGCGGCAGCCCGACUUCAUCCAGCCCACUGCACCUUUCCAAACCCAAGUCCAACCUCCUCUGCCUCACAUGUCUACCCCAGUCCCCACCGCUCCAACCUCCAUCACCCAGCCCGCUGCCGGCCUCACCCAGCAGCUCCCCGCGCAGCCCCCCAUCGGCCUGACCCAGCAGCUCCUUACCCAGAAGCUGGGGCCCCCCAGCCAGGGUGCCCCAACUCAUGUAGCCCCCCACCUCAGGCUGUCUUACCCCCACCUCGAAUGCCAGCUCAACCUCAGCCCCCGGUCCUGCCUGUAA